rnacentral:tRNA from 1 species
GCAGUGGUAGUUCACUGGUAGAAUUCUCGCUUUCCAUGCGGGAGACCUGGAUUCAAAUUCCAGCCAAUAUA